rnacentral:misc_RNA from 1 species
GUGAAUCAUCGAAUCUUUGAACGCAAAUUGCACUCUCUGGUAUUCCGGAGAGUAUGCCUGUUUGAGGGUCAUUAUAAAUAAAAUUCGUUGUAUUGCUUAUGGGGACGCAAUCGGAGUUGUCUCAUCUUUGAUCUUGCUAAAAGUUUAAGAUGACCUAAUAUUGAUGAUACCUUGUACAUCUCAAGACAUCCAU